GCUUAUCUCCUGCAACUUUUGUGUGGUUUGGUUUUCCUUCCAUUGUGUGGUCUUCUUCAAGCUUUUAUUUUUCCAGAUUUGUAGGUUCAUAAUUGCUUGACAAGGCUGAACAUAAUCUACUCAAGCUUCUACAAUACGGCAUUUUUUUUCUACAAGUGAGCUCACUUUGUUGCUUGCUGCAAUCGCUUGUGAGUCAAUGUGUUUUGGUGUAGGUUAAAUGGAGGUCAGCUACUAUAUCAAAGUUAAGACCUUACUUACUUUCAGAGAUAUAUUUCCAUUGUCUGAUGGAUGUGUUAGUACAAGCAGACAAAUCAUAAUGCUUACUGGAGUGUAAUUGUGCGCUUUCAUUAAAUUUGUUUCUUAGCCUAUAAGGUGUUGAGGUGGUUUAUUAUGUGCUGGAUUUGAAUACCAUAUUAUAUGCAAAUUACAACAUAAUGACAUGUUGUGUUUUCUCAGGAUAACAAAUGAGCCUCUUUCUGGACUAAUUGGCAUGUUAUUUAAUGUGGUUACGCUUCAAGCUGUAAAGGUAUUUGGUGACUAACAUGGAAAUAUUGUUCACCUUUACGACAGACUGUAGUCUUCAAAGAAGGCAUCAGAAGAUUAUUGAGGAAGCACCAGCUCCAAAUGUUCCAACAGAGUUUUGGACUACUGUUGAAGCUGCUUUAACUGCUGCGAAGGCUACUGUACCGGUUAACCCGAAGCCUUCCCUCAACAACCUGACUGUUAUUGCCAAACUGAAGUUGAAAUUUUACCACGGAACCUUUGGAAAAUUUCUACUGAAUCCUUGAUGUACGUUAAAGAAAGCAGAGCAUUAAAGGACACAUCGAUAGUUGAUCAGAGCAUGUGCGCAAGCCAGAGUAGCAGGAGAUGGUGAGAUGAAGCUAAAGAAGCAAAAUCAGAGAAUAAAUAGAAGUGGAGAAGAAAGCAGGAACCUGGGAGGACCUAGGAGGGGGAGGAAGGCGCAACACCGACGGCUAUGUUUGCUUUGGUGUACAUUUUACGUAGUCACAGAACUACUAAUGCCCCUUGGCCUGUUAUAAUGUACUAGAAGGGCCCUGCGCUCUUUGCUGCGCCCGUUGUUUGGUGUUAUCGUUUUAUGUUUUCUCCAUCGCUUGUGUGUGACGAUAUUGCAGUACAUGCUGUCGAGCGGUAAAGUGGGUGCUUUACCUCCACUAUAAACAAUGGCGGGUAUGAUAGCUGCAUCUCCAUUUCGUAUAGGGUCCAGUUAUACGUGAGCCUGAUCUAACCUGCCUUUUGAUGGGGCAGGGAUAACAGUGUCAUAAAGAGCAGGCGGUAUUGCUCGGUGCGUUCUUCUAUUUUAUGUUUCUCUGCUUGGUGGUUCUUCGGCAUCGAAAUCCUUGGCUCUUGUAUCAUCAAAAAGAUCAGCUAUGUUGUGGAUUAAUCUUGCCUUAAAUUUCUG